UAGAUAUAUGUGGUGGAAGAU
rnacentral:piRNA from 1 species